rnacentral:rRNA from 1 species
GAUUAAGUUAUUAAGGGCGCACGGUGGAUGCCUUGGCACUAGAAGCCGAUGAAGGACGUUACUAACGACGAUAUGCUUUGGGGAGCUGUAA